rnacentral:tRNA from 1 species
GCCUUCGUGGUGUAAUGGAAGCACACUCGGCGCAUAUUCGAAAAGUCUAGGUUCGAGUCCCGGUGAGGGCA